rnacentral:rRNA from 1 species
UGCGUAGGCGGCAUCGUAAGUCAGGAGUGAAAUCCCACGGCUCAACUGUGGAACUGCUUUUGAUACUGCGAUGCUUGAAUUAGGUUGAGGUCAGCGGAAUGUGACAUGUAGCGGUGAAAUGCAUAGAUAUGUCAUAGAACACCAAUUGCGAAGGCAGCUGGCUAGACCUACAUUGACGCUGAGGCACGAAAGCGUGGGGAGCGAACAGGAUUAGAUACCCUGGUAGUCC